rnacentral:rRNA from 1 species
AUUGAACGCUGGCGGCAGGCCUAACACAUGCAAGUCGAACGGCAGCACAGAAGAGCUUGCUCUUUGGGUGGCGAGUGGCGGACGGGUGAGUAAUGUCUGGGAAACUGCCCGAUGGAGGGGGAUAACUACUGGAAACGGUAGCUAAUACCGCAUAACGUCGCAAGACCAAAGUGGGGGACUUUCGGGCCUCACACCAGCGGAUGUGCCCAGAUGGGAUUAGCUAGUAGGUGGGGUAAUGGCUCACCUAGGCGACGAUCCCUAGCUGGUCUGAGAGGAUGACCAGCCACACUGGAACUGAGACACGGCCCAGACUCCUACGGGAGGCAGCAGUGGGGAAUAUUGCACAAUGGGCGCAAGCCUGAUGCAGCCAUGCCGCGUGUAUGAAGAAGGCCUUCGGGUUGUAAAGUACUUUCAGCGGGGAGGAAGGCGGUGAGGUUAAUAACCUUGCCGAUUGACGUUACCCGCAGAAGAAGCACCGGCUAACUCCGUGCCAGCCGCCGCGGUAA